rnacentral:tRNA from 2 species
GCCCCUGUAGCUCAGUGGAUUAGAGCAGCGGCCUCCGGAGCCGUGCGCGCGAGUUCGAGUCUCGCCAGGGGUA